rnacentral:rRNA from 1 species
UACGUAGGGUGCAAGCGUUGUCCGGAAUUAUUGGGCGUAAAGAGCUCGUAGGCGGUUUGUUGCGUCGGCUGUGAAAUCCCGAGGCUCAACCUCGGGUCUGCAGUCGAUACGAGCAAACUAGAGUGUUGCAGGGGAGACUGGAAUUCCUGGUGUAGCGGUGAAAUGCGCAGAUAUCAGGAGGAACACCGGUGGCGAAGGCGGCCAUCUGGACCGGUACUGACGCUGAGGCGCGAAAGCUAGGGGAGCGAAUGGG